rnacentral:rRNA from 1 species
UACGUAGGGUGCAAGCGUUGUCCGGAAUUAUUGGGCGUAAAGAGCUCGUAGGCGGUCUGUCGCGUCGGCUGUGAAAACCCGAGGCUCAACCUCGGGCCUGCAGUCGAUACGGGCAAACUAGAGUACUGCAGGGGAGACUGGAAUUCCUGGUGUAGCGGUGAAAUGCGCAGAUAUCAGGAGGAACACCGAUGGCGAAGGCAGCUCGCUGGGACGGUACUGACGCUGAGGCGCGAAAGCGUGGGGAGCGAACAGG